AGUCAUAAGAGAAAAAGCAUUUUGUUUGAACUCCACCCACUGACCUUUUGUGGUUUGGCAGGGCCAGCUGCUGGCAGGCUCCCCCAGUGCUGAAUGCUCCGCGCUCCACUGUGCUGGGCCUGCUGAAAAAGCAGACAGCGCUCCCUCUCCCCCAGAAUCAGGAGCCAAAUGCCACACCGAUUGUGCAACUUGUCUCUGGUUACCAGGAAAACGUAAAGAAAUGCCAAUGAAGCAGAAAGGUCGACAAAAUUCUUUCCAACGCUUGAACAAAAAAGGUAUUUUUAGGGCCCUAGAUUUAUGGAAGUCAAUUCUUCCACUCCUCGCCAGGCUUUCAAACCUCCUAUUCUUUGCACUACAUUAUUUGAAUAAACCGUAAAUACCCUUA
ensembl:lncRNA novel transcript